UUGGAGGGCAAGUCUGGUGCCAGCAGCCGCGGUAAUUCCAGCUCCAAUAGCGUAUAUUAAAGUUGUUGCAGUUAAAAAGCUCGUAGUUGAAUUUUGGGAUCAGUACGUUGGUCGUGCCUUAGGUACGUACUGGUAUUACUGGUUCCUACCUUCUGACGAACCAUCAUGUCAUUAAUUUGGUGUGGCGGGGAAUCAGGACUGUUACUUUGAAAAAAUUAGAGUGUUUAAAGCAGGCUCGCGCUUGAAUACAUUAGCAUGGAAUAAUGAAAUAGGACGUUGAUCCUAUUUUGUUGGUUUCUAGGAUUGACGUAAUGAUUAAUAGGGAUAGUUGGGGCAUUAGUAUUUAAUUGUCAGAGGUGAAAUUCUUGGAUUUAUUGAAGACUAACUACUGCGAAAGCAUUUGCCAAGGAUGUUUUCAUUAAUCAAGAACGAAAGUUAGGGGAUCGAAGACGAUCAGAUACCGUCGUAGUCUUAACCAUAAACUAUGCCGACUAGGGAUCGGAUGAUGUUAAUUUUUUAAUGACUCAUUCGGCGCCUUACGGGAAAC
rnacentral:rRNA from 1 species